UCUCUCCCUUUCUCUGCUCUGCGCCGCCUCACCUCUCUCUAGCCACGCCGCGAAUCUGGAUCGACGGCGACGAGCGACGCCGCGCUUCCUCGCCAACUCGGCACCGACGACGACGGGCGGCGUGACCGUUCCUCACCACAUCAGACGUAGACGGACACGCCUCCCCUGGUUUUUCGCGGAACGUGGCGAGCCGGAGCAGACACCUACCGUCGCAACAAUGGACAAGCAAAAGGGGAAGGCGAGUGGGAAGGAGAAGGAGAAAGAGAGGACGUUGGACUCCAUUAUGAAGAGAAAGUUGCCGGUCUCGGGGAUGCAGAAGGGGAAUGGGAAGGGCAAUGCAGCAGCUACUACACGGCUACCGAUGAAGCUGACAAAUGAUUCCAGCAAUGUCCCAAUCGCUGAGUUGUUGUAUAGGGUAAAAAAGAAACCUCCGCCUCGACGUCUCCCUGACCCCACCGGCGCUGGCGUGCGUGCCGGAAUCGCCGUUGCCUCCGGCUCCGCAAACUACUAUGAGAGGGAGGCUACAUCUUCGCAGGCAAUGGAGCAUGAUAAGCAAGCGGAGGAGGAUCAUGAAGAGGUGGAAGAGGAUGAGGAGGAGGACGAGGAAGAGCAAGAUACUUUGUUUAAGGUGCCGCCUGGGGUUGGUGACAAAUCAGAUUCAGAUGGGUUGGUGACAAAUCAGAUUCAGCCAAGAACAAUUGCAACACAAAUACCUCGAUGCCACUUAUGGAUUGUGACUUUCAGUCCUUCUUAUCAGCCACUUCAUCAACACCAUCAAAAAGUGAGCUUAGAAACUAUCUAGAUGACUUGAAUGAGGCAAUGGAUCCUAUGUUCAAUCUUCUUGAUUGGUGGAGGGUGAAUGCACCUAGAUACCCCGUAUUGGCAAUGAUGGCAAAGAGGUUCUUGACUGUCCAGGCAGGAAUCAACUUUCAGCACGGGUGAAAGAGUUUUAGAUGACUACAGGAGUUCUUUGAAACCAGAAAUGGUGGAAGCCUUGGUGUGCGGUGCUAGUUAUAUCAAAGGUUAUCACAAGGACUUCAAUGUGGUGGAGAGGGAUGAAGAUGAGGAUGACGAUGUUGAGAAUAUCAAGUUGCCCAAGAUUGUUGAUGUGGGGGGUGACAACAAUUGAUAUUCGCCAUGUGGGUGUUGCUCUUGCUAUUUUGAAGAUGGAUGUCUACAUGAUCUUCUCAUGUGGAUUGUUGAGGUCAACGUGAUCAUCUCGUGCCAUUUCUUUUGUUGUGAUAAACUUCGAAUUAUGUGUGCUGUUGUGAUGAACUAUGGACCUUGAAUGAUGUUGUGAUGAACCAUGCACUUUCAACAAUGUUGUUGUGAACUUGUGAUGAACUAUGAACUUUGUAUUAUGUGGUUUUCACUAGUCAUUGUUUGGCUGUCAACAUUUCCUCAGUUUUAUGUCAAAGUGGUAAGUGUUAUGCUAUGCAAAAUUUCCUUGUUUGGCUGUCAAUAUUUGAUGUUUUCCUGUGUAAAGUUCAGUUGAAGUGCUGUCCAAAAUUCAAUAGAAAUGCUGCCCAAUUCUUUCUCUCAUAUGUGUUCCAUUGUUACAAUUUUGUAGAAGAAUUCAUAUAAGAACAUUAUUUUUCAUUACUAUGACCAUUUCUUAAAACAAUAGACUGCUGAUUGUUCAUUUUUAGUAGUAUAAAUUGUUUGUUUUUCAAAAUAUAGGUUUAAUUGCCGCAAAAAAUCAAGUAUAUACACUAUAUACAGAGGUAUGUACAAUUAAAUGGUUCUGGGAGAAGCUGACUUAUGAGCCGGCUCGGUCUGAGCCGAGCCAUAGCCAAAGCGAGCCAAGCCGGUUGAAGUAGGCUCGUUGGCUGAGCGAGCCGAGCCGAGCCGAGCCGCUCCAGAGCGAGCCAAAGCCAGGCUCGGAUCAAGCUCGGCUCGGCUCGGCUCGUGUCCAGCGACCGCAAGCACGAGGAGCCGGUCGGGGGUCCCUUUAGCGAGUCCAUGGAGCGGUCCAAGAGGCUCGCAUCCAUGUCAUCGGCCAUGGACUUCGGCGGGGUCUCGGAGCUCUCGAACGCCCUGACCAACAACAAAUGCGAGUUCCGCUGCCUUCAGACGAGCCUCCGGAAGGUGACGCUGCAGUUCAAGGCCAAGGAGGUGAACUGCUUCCCGGCGCAGCUCGCCAAGUUCCUCGUGGAGAACGCCAUGGUGCUUGAGGAGAUGCACGUCGACGACGGGAGCCAAUUCUGGUCGGACCACCUCUGUCACAAGGUUGCGAGAUGGAGAGACGAGUCUUUCCGCCUGAAGAACCUGCCGGACGCGGCCGCGGGGUUUCGGGUGUGCCAGCUGCAGCUGGAUAAUCCAGAGGGAGGUUCUAAUCAGGGGCGUGGCGGCAAGCCAGGGGACGAGUCUAAUGGAGAACAAUGUUAUGACUCCUAUUAGGAUGGUGCGUUCUUGAAUUGUACAUAAUGAUUACCGACCAUCGUAGCUGUUUUUUCA